GAUGAACGCUGGCGGCGUGCCUAAUACAUGCAAGUCGAGCGAGCGGCGGACGGGUGAGUAAGGGCUGGGAAACUGCCUGAUGGAGGGGGAUAACUACUGGAAAAGGUAGCUAAUACCGCAUACCAUCAGAUGUGCACAGAUGGGAUUAGCUAGGAGGUGGGGUAAUGGCUCACCUAGGCGACGAUCCCUAGCUGGGCGGAGAGGAUGACCAGCCACACUGGAACUGAGACACGGUCCAGACUCCUACGGGCGGCAGCAGUGGGGAAUAUUGCACAAUUGGCGCAAGCCUGAUACAGCCAUGCCGCGUGUGUGAAGAAGGCCUUCUGGUUGUAAAGCACUUUCAGCGAGGAGGCGUUACUCGCAGAAGAAGCACCGGCUAACUCCGUGCCAGCAGCCGCGGUAAUAC
rnacentral:rRNA from 1 species